CUUUUGAGGCUAGAUUCAGAAGGUUUAGGGUUUUGGGUAUAAUUUGGGUGAAGAUUUUGUAUGAUUUCGAGUUUUUAUGGAAAAGAUAUGAGUGUUCAAAGAUAAGAUGUCAAUUUCGUACCUACUGUCACUUCUUUUGGGCAUCACAUACGAAUACGGAGAGCAACGGAAGAUCAGCGACUGGAUUUGGAGGGAGCAUUUUCUCGGCUACACAUUCUACUUACUGUAUAGUGAAUUCUAAGAUUGGGUGAAGGAGUUAUGAGGCGUUGAAGACAGCACUUGUAAUUUGAAGGCAGUAAGUAUAUCGUUUUGUUGCUAGUUAUGGGUGAAGCCAUAUCUUGAGUUUCUGGACGAAUUUUUGGCUCAAAAUUUCCACAAGUGUGUAUAAUUGGGUUAAGAAGCUUUAAAUCAAAAUUUCAUAGUAUUUAAAUAAUUACUUUGUGAAAUAUGAAGGAAGUUGUACACGGGUGUAAAAAAGCUAGGGUUUGAAGCUACAGUUAGGGUUUUCAAGAUAUCACAAGAUUCAAGACGAAUUUACGGUUGAAUUUUGGUGUGGUAGUUGCUAAAGAUAUAUCAGUACUCCCUGUACAAUUUGGAGUUGUUUAGACGGUUAGAUCGGAAGUUAUGAGCUGUUGAACUUCGGAAAAAAUUCCUCAUAAGGAUAUAUAAGUUUUUUUAUAACACCUUAUCAAGUAUUUUGGUGUUCUUUGGAUUUUAAGGCUUGUAUAUUGAUGUAAUUGCUCCAAAGGAGAGGAGUUUAUAUAUAUAAAAUUGUUACCC
rnacentral:lncRNA from 1 species